UACGUAGGGUGCGAGCGUUAAUCGGAAUUACUGGGCGUAAAGCGUGCGCAGGCGGUGAGCUGUGUCCGAUGUGAAAGCCCCGGGCUUAACCUGGGAAUGGCAUUGGAAACUGGCUCGCUGGAGUGUGGCAGAGGGGGGUGGAAUUCCGCGUGUAGCAGUGAAAUGCGUAGAGAUGCGGAGGAACACCGAUGGCGAAGGCAGCCCCCUGGGCUAACACUGACGCUCAGGCACGAAAGCGUGGGGGAGCGAUCCGG
rnacentral:rRNA from 1 species